UCCAUGUAUAAGAAGGGCCGACUGUACUAAAAUUGGAAUGAUACAGAGAAAGUUAGCAUGGCCCUUGCCAAGGAUGACAUGCCAAUAUUAUUUGAAGCACAUAGUUUUA